rnacentral:rRNA from 2 species
AGCAUAUCAAUAAGCGGAGGAAAAGAAACUAACAAGGAUUCCCCUAGUAACUGCGAGUGAAGCGGGAAAAGCUCAAAUUUAAAAUCUGGCGGUCUUAUGGCCGUCCGAGUUGUAGUCUGGAGAAGUGCUUUCCGCGCUGGACCGUGUACAAGUCUCUUGGAACAGAGCGUCAUAGAGGGUGAGAAUCCCGUCUUUGACACGGACUACCAGUGCUUUGUGAUGUGCUCUCAAAGAGUCGAGUUGUUUGGGAAUGCAGCUCAAAAUGGGUGGUAAAUUCCAUCUAAAGCUAAAUAUUGGCGAGAGACCGAUAGCGAACAAGUACCGUGAGGGAAAGAUGAAAAGCACUUUGGAAAGAGAGUUAAACAGUACGUGAAAUUGCUGAAAGGGAAACGCUUGAAGUCAGUCGCGUUGGCCAGGACUCAGCCUUGCUUUUGCUUGGUGCAUUUUCUGGUUGACGGGCCAGCAUCGAUUUUGACCAUUGGAAAAAGAUUAGGGGAAUGUGGCACCUUCGGGUGUGUUAUAGCCCUUAGUCACAUACAGUGGUUGGGAUCGAGGACCGCAGCACGCCUUUAUUGGCCGGGGUUCGCCCACGUUCGUGCUUAGGAUGCUGGCGUAAUGGCUUUAAACGACCCGUCUUGAAACACGGACCAAGGAGUCUAACAUGCCUGCGAGUGUUUGGGUGGAAAACCCGAGCGCGUAAUGAAAGUGAAAGUUGAGAUCCUUGUCAUGGGGAGCAUCGACGCCCGGACCUGAACUUCGGUGAUGGAUCUGCGGUAGAGCAUGUAUGUUGGGACCCGAAAGAUGGUGAACUAUGCCUGAAUAGGGUGAAGCCAGAGGAAACUCUGGUGGAGGCUCGUAGCGAUUCUGACGUGCAAAUCGAUCGUCAAAUUUGGGUAUAGGGGCGAAAGACUAAUCGAACCAUCUAGUAGCUGGUUCCUG